rnacentral:rRNA from 1 species
GAUGAACGCUGGCGGCGUGCCUAAUACAUGCAAGUAGAACGCUGAAGGAAGGAGCUUGCUCUUUCCGGAUGAGCUGCGAACGGGUGAGUAACGCGUAGGUAACCUGCCUGGUAGCGGGGGAUAACUAUUGGAAACGAUAGCUAAUACCGCAUAACAGUAGAUGUUGCAUGAUAUCUACUUAAAAGGUGCAAUUGCACCACUACCAGAUGGACCUGCGUUGUAUUAGCUAGUUGGUGAGGUAACGGCUCACCAAGGCGACGAUACAUAGCCGACCUGAGAGGGUGAUCGGCCACACUGGGACUGAGACACGGCCCAGACUCCUACGGGAGGCAGCAGUAGGGAAUCUUCGGCAAUGGACGGAAGUCUGGCCGAGCAACGCCGCGUGAGUGAAGAAGGUUUUCGGAUCGUAAAGCUCUGUUGUAAGAGAAGAACGAGUGUGAGAGUGGAAAGUUCACACUGUGACGGUAUCUUACCAGAAAGGGACGGCUAACUACGUG